rnacentral:tRNA from 1 species
AUCUAAGUAACUUAAAUAUAAAGUUUAAUAUUGAAGAUAUUAUUAUAGGUUAAUACCUCUUAGAUA